UGGGGAAUAUUGCACAAUGGGCGCAAGCCUGAUGCAGCCAUGCCGCGUGUAUGAAGAAGGCCUUCGGGUUGUAAAGUACUUUCAGUCGGGAGGAAGGUGGUAAGGUUAAUAACCUUAUCAAUUGACGUUACCGACAGAAGAAGCACCGGCUAACUCCGUGCCAGCAGCCGCGGUAAUACGGAGGGUGCAAGCGUUAAUCGGAAUUACUGGGCGUAAAGCGCACGCAGGCGGUUGAUUGAGUCAGAUGUGAAAUCCCCGGGCUUAACACGGGAAUUGCAUGUGAUAAUGGUCAGAUAGAGUGUUGUAGAGGGGGGUAGAAUUCGAUGGGUAGCGGUGAAAUGCGUAGAGAUGUGGAGGAAUACCGGUAGCGAAGGCGGCCCCCUGGACAAAGAAUGACGAUCAGGUGCGAAAGCGUGGGGAGCAAACAGG
rnacentral:rRNA from 1 species